rnacentral:rRNA from 1 species
UCGUACAAACAAAUCGCCCUUAAUGUGCCUGAUCUUGUCAUAUCUCAGAGGCUAAGCAGGUUUGAGCCUGGUUAGUGCUUGGAUGGUGGAACGCCAGGACGUUGUGGGUA